AGAGUUUGAUCCUGGCUCAGGACGAACGCUGGCGGCGUGCCUAAUACAUGCAAGUCGAACGCGAGCAGCAAUGCUUGAGUGGCGACCGGGUGCGUAACACGUAGCUGACCUGCCCCUCAGCGGGGGACAACUGCUGGAAACGGCAGCUAAUACCGCAUGACAUUCAAGCGACUAGAGAGCAUGAAUGAAACUUCCGGGGC
rnacentral:rRNA from 1 species